rnacentral:rRNA from 1 species
GACGAACGCUGGCGGCGUGCUUAACACAUGCAAGUCGAGCGGUAAGGCCCUUUCGGGGGUACACGAGCGGCGAACGGGUGAGUAACACGUGGGUGACCUGCCCUCAGCUCUGGGAUAAGCCUGGGAAACCGGGUCUAAUACUGGAUAUGACUCCAUGACGCAUGUUGUGGGGUGGAAAGCCUUGUGCGGCUGAGGAUGGGGCCCGCGGCCUAUCAGCUUGUUGGUGGGGUGAGNGGCCUACCAAGGCGACGACGGGUAGCCGGCCUGAGAGGGCGACCGGCCACACUGGGACUGAGA